AGAAGCCUCCAGGAGGAGGUUUCUUUCCUGCUGCCUUCUCUGGCCGUAAUCUGAAGCCACCACCAUCCCCGCAUCGUCUCGGAGCCCAGCCGCCGCUUGGGUCUCACCUGCGUGACUUCCGAUCGCCACCUCGUGGCCUGACGUGUAACUGCAGAAAACUCAGAGCAUGGGAUGUGUCAGGCGUCCUCCCCCUGCCAGAUGCCUGACUGACCCUUGGCGUGCCCAGCGGGGGCAGGGGCAGCACGGGGCAUCUCACCUCCUGCCACCUCUGGCCUUUGGACCCUGAAUUCAACCCGGAGGCCAUGAGUGGAGCCCAGCAGCGUCCUCAGCCUCUGCCUCCCCGCCAUGGAACAGUCCAGGAGUCCAGCCACCGGAGAGGAGAGCAGCUGCACUGCCAGAGUCCAGGGGGGCGCCCUUCACAUCCAGUGGGGGCUGCAGGGCUGGAUGCAGUGGUCCUCCUCCUGCCCAUCCUCCU
rnacentral:lncRNA from 1 species